rnacentral:rRNA from 1 species
UGGGGAAUAUUGCACAAUGGGCGCAAGCCUGAUGCAGCCAUGCCGCGUGUGUGAAGAAGGCCUUCGGGUUGUAAAGCACUUUCAGCGGGGAGGAAGGCGUUAAGGUUAAUAACCUUGGCGAUUGACGUUACCCGCAGAAUAAGCACCGGCUAACUCCGUGCCAGCAGCCGCGGUAAUACGGAGGGUGCAAGCGUUAAUCGGAAUUACUGGGCGUAAAGCGCACGCAGGCGGUCUGUCAAGUCGGAUGUGAAAUCCCCGGGCUCAACCUGGGAACUGCAUUCGAAACUGGCAGGCUAGAGUCUGGUAGAGGGGGGUAGAAUUCCAGGUGUAGCGGUGAAAUGCGUAGAGAGCUGGAGGAAUACCGGUGGCGAAGGCGGCCCCCUGGAAAAAGACUGACGCUCAGGUGCGAAAGCGUGGGGAGCAAACAGG